GUUUUUCAAAUCAAACAAAACCCUUUUUCAAACCCUAAAAAAAAACAAUUCCCCUCUGCCAUUCCCAAAAAUGUGCCGCAGCACGGCAGCAGCACUUCCCUCUCUGCCAUUUCAAACCCUCACCGCUCCGAUGGCGACGAAACAAAGGGGUCUUCCAACGACACAAUGCCGGAAGAUCCUGGAAGGAUCGUGUACGACGUGGGAGUGAUGGGCAGUUGCUGCAACAUUCGCGGAGUUGCUGUGCGUGGGGUGAGGCUGCUGCGACAGGGGCGGCUACUAGGGUUUCUAUUUUUGGCUAAUUUGGGCUGGUACAGGGUAAUUGGUUUGGGCUAAUUUAGGUUUAAUCUAGGCUAGGGUUAAAUGGGGUUUAGCAAUGGACUUCUAAUUUUAAAUUUGGAUCUCUGAAGCUUUAGGCUAAUUGGGCCGUGUAAAGGAUUUUGGGCCCCGGGCAAUAAUUGGGUAUUACAGUCCAAAAGUGUUAAUUAACUCUCUUAGGCACAUAUUCAACCACUUGCAUACCCUCCUUCUUAGCAGAAGACAUUUUGGCUAUAAGAUCAGAAAUUUGAUUACAUUA